CCCUUAGAUGUUCUGGGCCGCACGCGCGCUACACUGAUGAACGCAACGAGACCACCUGUACCGAAAGGCAUGGGUAAACUUGUGAAAGUUCAUCGUGAUGGGGAUAGAUUAUUGCAAUUAUUAAUCUUCAACGAGGAAUUCCUAGUAAGCGCGAGUCAUCAGCUCGCGUUGAUUACGUCCCUGCCCUUUGUACACACCGCCCGUCGCUCCUACCGAUUGAAUGCUCAGGUGAGCCAUUCGGACUUUCAUCAUGCUGGUUUCCAGUUUUGAUGAAGGAAAGUCUUGCGAACCUUAUCAUUUAGAGGAAGGAGAAGUCGUAACA
rnacentral:rRNA from 1 species